rnacentral:rRNA from 1 species
AAAUUGAAGAGUUUGAUCAUGGCUCAGAUUGAACGCUGGCGGCAGGCCUAACACAUGCAAGUCGAACGGUAACAGGAAUCAGCUUGCUGUUUUGCUGACGAGUGGCGGACGGGUGAGUAAUGUCUGGGAAACUGCCUGAUGGAGGGGGAUAACUACUGGAAACGGUAGCUAAUACCGCAUAACGUCGCAAGACCAAAGAGGGGGACCUUCGGGCCUCUUGCCAUCGGAUGUGCCCAGAUGGGAUUAGCUAGUAGGUGGGGUAAAGGCUCACCUAGGCGACGAUCCCUAGCUGGUCUGAGAGGAUGACCAGCCACACUGGAACUGAGACACGGUCCAGACUCCUACGGGAGGCAGCAUGUGGGGAAUAUUGCACAAUGGGCUGCAAGCCUGAUGCAGCCAUGCCGGGUGUAUGAAGAAGGCCUUCGGGUUUGUAAAGUACUUUCAGCGGGGAGGAAGGGAGUAAAGUUAAUACCUUUGCUCAUUGACGUUACCCGCAGAAGAAGCACCGGCUAACUCCGUGCCAGCAGCCGCGGUAAUACGGAGGGUGCAAGCCGUUAAUCGGAAUUACCUGGGCGUAAAGCGCACGCAGGCUGGUUUGUUAAGUCAGAUGUGAAAUCCCCGGGCUCAACCUGGGAACUGGUUCUGAUACCUGGCAAGCUUGAGUCUCGUAGAGGGGGGUAGAAUUCCAGGUGUAGCGGUGAAAUGCGUAGAGAUCUGGAGGAAUACCGGUGGCGAAGGCGGCCCCCUGGACUAAGACUUGACGCUCAGGUGCGAAAGCGUGGGGGAGCAAACAGGAUUAAGAUACCCUGGUAGUCCACGCCGUAAACCGAUGUCGACUUGGAGGUUGUGCCCUUGAGGCGUUGCUUCCGGAGCUAACGCGUUAAGUCGACCGCCUGGGGAGUACGGCCGCAAGGUUAAAACUCAAAUGAAUUGACGGGGGCCCGCACAAGCGGUGGAGCAUGUGGUUUAAUUCGAUGCAACGCGAAGAACCUUACCUGGUCUUGACAUCCACGGAAGUUUUCAGAGAUGAGAAUGUGCCUUCGGGAACCGUGAGACAGGUGCUGCAUGGCUGUCGUCAGCUCGUGUUGUGAAAUGUUGGGUUAAGUCCCGCAACGAGCGCAACCCUUAUCCUUUGUUGCCAGCGGUCCGGCCGGGAACUCAAAGGAGACUGCCAGUGAUAAACUGGAGGAAGGUGGGGAUGACGUCAAGUCAUCAUGGCCCUUACGACCAGGGCUACACACGUGCUACAAUGGCGCAUACAAAGAGAAGCGACCUCGCGAGAGCAAGCGGACCUCAUAAAGUGCGUCGUAGUCGGAUUGGAGUCUGCAACUCGACUCCAUGAAGUCGGAAUCGCUAGUAAUCGUGGAUCAGAAUGCCACGGUGAAUACUUUCCCGGGCCUUGUACACACCGCCGUCACACCAUGGGAGUGGGUUGCAAAAGAAGUAGGUAGCUUAACCUUCGGGAGGGCGCUUACCACUUUGUGAUUCAUGACUGGGGUGAAGUCGUAACAAGGUAACCGUAGGGGAACCUGCGGUUGGAUCACCUCCUUA